rnacentral:rRNA from 1 species
CACGUAGGGGGCAAGCGUUGUCCGGAUUUAUUGGGCGUAAAGAGCUCGUAGGUGGUUCGGUAAGUCGGGUGUGAAACCUCCAGGCUCAACCUGGAGACGCCACCCGAUACUGCCGUGACUGGAGUCCGGUAGGGGAGCGUGGAAUUCCUGGUGUAGCGGUGAAAUGCGCAGAUAUCAGGAGGAACACCAGCGGCGAAGGCGGCGCUCUGGGCCGGUACUGACACUGAGGAGCGAAAGCGUGGGUAGCAAACAGG